rnacentral:pre_miRNA from 1 species
UAUUAAAAUUUUCAUUCAUUUUUAUUGUUAAUAACUAGUAUAGCUAACGAAAUAAUUAGAUUGUGACGCAUGGCACUUUACAUGUAACUUAUGUUGAGAUAUAUGAACCGGUUUAUAAUAGUAAAAAUGAAUGGAAUUUUAGACU